rnacentral:rRNA from 1 species
GAUGAACGCUGGCGGCGUGCCUAAUACAUGCAAGUCGAACGCACAGCGAAAGGUGCUUGCACCUUUCAAGUGAGUGGCGAACGGGUGAGUAACACGUGGAUAACCUACCUCAAGGUUGGGGAUAACAUUUGGAAACAGAUGCUAAUACCGAAUAAAACUUCGUAUCGCAUGAUACAAGGUUAAAAGGCGCUACGGCGUCACCUAGAGAUGGAUCCGCGGUGCAUUAGUUAGUGGUGGGUAAAGGCCUACCAAGACAAUGAUGCAUAGCCGAGUUGAGAGACUGAUCGG